rnacentral:rRNA from 1 species
AUUGAACGCUGGCGGCAGGCCUAACACAUGCAAGUCGAACGGUAACAGGAAACAGCUUGCUGUUUCGCUGACGAGUGGCGGACGGGUGAGUAAUGUCUGGGAAACUGCCUGAUGGAGGGGGAUAACUACUGGAAACGGUAGCUAAUACCGCAUAACGUCGCAAGACCAAAGAGGGGGACCUUCUGGCCUCUUGCCAUCGGAUGUGCCCAGAUGGGAUUAGCUAGUAGGUGGGGUAACGGCUCACCUAGGCGACGAUCCCUAGCUGGUCUGAGAGGAUGACCAGCCACACUGGAACUGAGACACGGUCCAGACUCCUACGGGAGGCAGCAGUGGGGAAUAUUGGACAAUGGGCGCAAGCCUGAUGCAGCCAUGCCGCGUGUAUGAAGAAGGCCUUCGGGUUGUAAAGUACUUUCAGCGGGGAUGAAGGGAGUAAGGUUAAUACCUUUGCUCAUUGACGUUACCCGCAGAAGAAGCACCGGCUAACUCCGUG